rnacentral:rRNA from 1 species
AGAGUUCGAUCCUGGCUCAGGAUGAACGCUGGCGGCGCGCCUAACACAUGCAAGUCGAACGAUUAAAGCACCUUCGGGUGUGUAUAAAGUGGCGAACGGCUGAGUAACACGUGGGCAACCUGCCCCUCUCAUUGGGAUAGCCACGGGAAACCGUGGAUAAUACCGAAUACUUCGGGACUUCCGCAUGGAAGACUCGAGAAAGCUCCGGCGGAGAGGGAUGGGCCCGCGGCCUGUUAGCUUGUUGGUGGGGUAACGGCCUACCAAGGCAAUGAUGGGUAGCUGGGUUGAGAGACCGACCAGCCAGAUUGGGACUGAGACACGGCCCAGACUCCUACGGGAGGCAGCAGUGGGGAAUCUUGCACAAUGGGCGAAAGCCUGAUGCAGCGACGCCGCGUGCGGGAUGAAGGCCUUCGGGUUGUAAACCGCUUUCAGCAGGGACGAGGCGAAAGUGACGGUACCUGCAGAAGAAGCCCCGGCUAACUACGUGCCAGCAGCCGCGGUAAUACGUAGGGGGCAAGCGUUAUCCGGAUUCAUUGGGCGUAAAGCGCUCGUAGGCGGUCUGUUAGGUCGGGAGUUAAAUCCGGGGGCUCAACCCCCGUUCGCUCCCGAUACCGGCAGACUUGAGUUUGGUAGGGGAAGGUGGAAUUCCUAGUGUAGCGGUGGAAUGCGCAGAUAUUAGGAAGAACACCAGUGGCGAAGGCGGCCUUCUGGGCCAUAACUGACGCUGAGGAGCGAAAGCUAGGGGAGCAAACAGGAUUAGAUACCCUGGUAGUCCUAGCCGUAAACGAUGGACACUAGGUGUGGGGGAAUAUUUCUUCCGUGCCGCAGCUAACGCAUUAAGUGUCCCGCCUGGGGAGUACGGCCGCAAGGCUAAAACUCAAAGGAAUUGACGGGGGCCCGCACAAGCGGCGGAGCAUGCGGAUUAAUUCGAUGCAACGCGAAGAACCUUACCAAGGCUUGACAUAUACUGGACCGCAUCAGAGAUGGUGUUUCCCUUCGGGGCUGGUAUACAGGUGGUGCAUGGUUGUCGUCAGCUCGUGUCGUGAGAUGUUGGGUUAAGUCCCGCAACGAGCGCAACCCUUGUCCCGUGUUGCCAGCACGUUGUGGUGGGGACUCGCGGGAGACUGCCGGGGUCAACUCGGAGGAAGGUGGGGAUGACGUCAAAUCAUCAUGCCCCUUAUGUCUUGGGCUUCACGCAUGCUACAAUGGCCGGUACAGAGGGUUGCGAUACUGUGAGGUGGAGCUAAUCCCUUAAAGCUGGUCUCAGUUCGGAUUGGUGUCUGCAACUCGACACCAUGAAGGUGGAGUCGCUAGUAAUCGCAGAUCAGCAACGCUGCGGUGAAUACGUUCUCGGGCCUUGUACACACCGCCCGUCACGUCACGAAAGUUGGCAACACCCCAAGCCCGUGGCUCUACGGGGAGCGGUUAAAGGUGGGGCUAGCGAUUGGGACGAAGUCGUAACAAGGUAGCCGUACCGGAAGGUGCGGCUG